rnacentral:rRNA from 1 species
CCUACGGGGGGCUGCAGUGGGGAAUAUUGGACAAUGGGCGCAAGCCUGAUCCAGCCAUGCCGCGUGAGUGAUGAAGGCCUUAGGGUUGUAAAGCUCUUUCGUCAGGGAAGAUAAUGACGGUACCUGAAGAAGAAGCCCCGGCUAACUUCGUGCCAGCAGCCGCGGUAAUACGAAGGGGGCUAGCGUUGCUCGGAAUCACUGGGCGUAAAGCGCACGUAGGCGGCUUUCUAAGUCAGGGGUGAAAUCCUGGAGCUCAACUCCAGAACUGCCUUUGAUACUGGAAAGCUUGAGUUCGGGAGAGGUGAGUGGAACUGCGAGUGUAGAGGUGAAAUUCGUAGAUAUUCGCAAGAACACCAGUGGCGAAGGCGGCUCACUGGCCCGAUACUGACGCUGAGGUGCGAAAGCGUGGGGAGCAAACAGGAUUAGAUACCCCUGUAGUC